rnacentral:rRNA from 1 species
UACGGGGGGAGCAAGCGUUGUUCGGAUUUACUGGGCGUAAAGGGCGCGUAGGCGGCCACCGCAAGUCGGUUGUGAAAUCUCUGGGCUUAACCCAGAAAGGUCAACCGAUACUGCGGGGCUAGAGUGCAGAAGGGGCAACUGGAAUUCUCGGUGUAGCGGUGAAAUGCGUAGAUAUCGAGAGGAGCACCUGCGGCGAAGGCGGGUUGCUGGGCUGACACUGACGCUGAAGCGCGAAAGCUAGGGGAGCGAACGGG